CCUUUGAAGCAAUUAGUCAUCAUGGGAUGUAAUGAAAUGAAUCGUCUUUUGGAGGCUAUUCAUUAAUUCCUCCCUGCCUGUCUCUGUGAUACCUGCACCAUCCAUGCAUACCAAAGUCCCAGCAAUGACGACAUUCAUGAAUAGAAAACUGGAAUAUAUUUCACCGUGGGAAAAAUGUUCUUAUUGAUUCAGGAUCAAAAUGGAGAAGCAAGUACAGGAUGAUGAUCUUAAUGAGCUCUUUUAGAGUCAAAGAAAGAGGUCCACGAAGAGGAUUUACCCUUUCCUUCCUGCCUUGGCAUAUUUUCGUGUGAGGACGGGAUGCUUGGAACUGUGGCAGCCACCUUGUGACCAAGAGGGGAAAAUACAGAGACAGCAGAGAAGCUGACGCAACGCAGAGCCUCAAUAC
ensembl:lncRNA